rnacentral:misc_RNA from 1 species
UGGUUCUGGCAUCGAUGAAGAACGCAGCGAAAUGCGAUAAGUAAUGUGAAUUGCAGAAUUCAGUGAAUCAUCGAAUCUUUGAACGCACAUUGCGCCCGCUAGUAUUCUGGCGGGCAUGCCUGUUCGAGCGUCAUUUCAAACCCUCAGGCCCCCGAGUCUGGUGAUGGGGAUCCCGCUGUAGCGGGGCCCUGAAACUUAGUGGCGGCUCUGUCACACUCCGAGCGUAGUAAUAUCUCCUCGCUUAGGGCGUGUGCCGGCGGUCCUGCCUUAUAAUUUUUUUUUAAUGGUUGACCUCGGAUCAGGUAGGAAUACCCGCUGA